UGCGCUCGUUCUCUGGCUACAAGCGUCAUUUUGUUUGGUAUUCACUUCUAUUAUUGUCUGGGUAACGGCAACUGGUGCAUUACGACUUAGAGGAAGGAACGUCAAUUUAAACCGCUUAUACAUAAUAAGCAGAGGGCUUAUGUUAAGUGUUCGUGUAUUCAGCAGGCAGAAUGUUCUUUUGUGGAAUAAAAAAGUGAUAGUUUUUUUUUUUUUUGAAAGCAGUUUUUAGUUGUGACGCAAUGUGGAAGGCUGUCCAAGGUAUUACUUACUGCCUAUUUUUGAUACGUCUGCUUUAAGCCUAGCCUGCCGUCCCUAGCCAUAAAUUCCUACCCACAGAGAGUCCAUCCCAUCUACCAGCUGGAAGUACAACGUUGACACUCUGAGUGAAAUGCAAAGCUGCCAGAGAGUUUUGAGCAGAGGAGCGGACGUGAUCCACAUGAUUCUCCAAGGCUCACUCGUGCGCUGCCUGGAGUCUAGAGCCACGCCACCCAACAGAAAUACACCGUGAGCCACGAAUUCUGGACAGAGUCUCAGGUGCCUGGUGGAUGCUGGACUGUUCAUUCAAUUGCCCAGUAUGAGCUACCUGCCACUUGAGUUGACGUAACUCCAUCACCACCUUCUGUGCAGUCACUGGGCUGUUCAAUUGUGACUUGGUUCUCCUCCUUCCAGGCACGUUGUGGGACUAGGCUUUCCCUUUAAACCUGUGGCUGAGCAUGUGACCUACUUUGGGCAACAGAAUGUGAAUAGAGGUACCGUGU